rnacentral:rRNA from 1 species
CAGCAUGAUCUAGCUUGCUAGAUUGAUGGCGAGUGGCGAACGGGUGAGUAAUACAUCGGAACGUGCCCUGUAGUGGGGGAUAACUAGUCGAAAGAUUAGCUAAUACCGCAUACGACCUGAGGGUGAAAGUGGGGGACCGCAAGGCCUCAUGCUAUAGGAGCGGCCGAUGUCUGAUUAGCUAGUUGGUGGGGUAAAGGCCCACCAAGGCGACGAUCAGUAGCUGGUCUGAGAGGACGAUCAGCCACACUGGGACUGAGACACGGCCCAGACUCCUACGGGAGGCAGCAGUGGGGAAUUUUGGACAAUGGGGGCAACCCUGAUCCAGCAAUGCCGCGUGUGUGAAGAAGGCCUUCGGGUUGUAAAGCACUUUUGUCCGGAAAGAAAUCGCACUUACUAAUAUUAGGUGUGGAUGACGGUACCGGAAGAAUAAGGACCGGCUAACUACGUGCCAGCAGCCGCGGUAAUACGUAGGGUCCAAGCGUUAAUCGGAAUUACUGGGCGUAAAGCGUGCGCAGGCGGUUGUGCAAGACCGAUGUGA